GAUGAACGCUAGCGGCAGGCCUAAUACAUGCAAGCCGAACGGCAAGUCUUUUAGCAAUAGAAGACCUAGAGUGGCGUAAGGGUGCGUAACACGUAUGCAAUCUGCCCUCAACAGGAGGAUAGCUCCCCGAAAGGGGAAUUAAGCCUCCAUAGGAUCGUAAUGUGGCAUCACAUAGCGAUUAAACUACCAGGGGUUGAGGAUGAGCAUGCGCAUGAUUAGUUAAUUGGCGGGGUAACGGCCCACCAAGACGAUGAUCAUUAGGGGAACUGAGAGGUUGAUCCCCCACACUGGCACUGAGAUACGGCCCAGACUCCUACGGGAGGCAGCAGUGGGGAAUAUUGCACAAUGGGCGCAAGCCUGAUGCAGCGACGCCG
rnacentral:rRNA from 1 species